UAGUACGGCGAGUGAACCGGGAAGAGCUCAAAUUUGAAAUCUGGCGUGCUCAGUGCGUCCGAGUUGUAAUCUAUAGAGUCGUUUUCCGUGCCGGACUGUGUCCAAGUCCCUUGGAACAGGGUAUCAAAGAGGGUGAUAAUCCCGUACUUGACACAAUGACCGGUGCUCUGUGAUACGUCUUCUACGAGUCGAGUUGUUUGGGAAUGCAGCUCAAAAUGGGUGGUGAGUUCCAUCUAAAGCUAAAUAUUGGCGAGAGACCGAUAGCGAACAAGUACCGUGAGGGAAAGAUGAAAAGCACUUUGGAAAGAGAGUUAAACAGUACGUGAAAUUGUUAAAAGGGAAACGAUUGAAGUCAGUCGUGACUGAGAGGCUCAGCCGGUUCUGCCGGUGUAUUCCCCUCAGUCGGGUCAACAUCAGUUUUGUUCGGUGGAUAAGGGCAGUUGGAAGGUGGCACCCUCGGGUGUGUUAUAGCCAGCUGUCGCAUACAUCGGAUGAGACUGAGGAAUGCAGCUCGCCUUUAUGGCCGGGGUUCGCCCACGUUCGAGCUUAGGAUGUUGACAUAAUGGCUUUAAACGACCCGUCUUGA
rnacentral:rRNA from 1 species